UACGUAGGGUGCAAGCGUUAAUCGGAAUUACUGGGCGUAAAGCGUGCGCAGGCGGUUUUGUAAGUUUGUCGUGAAAUCCCCGGGCUCAACCUGGGAAUGGCGAUGAAGACUGCAAGGCUAGAAUCUGGCAGAGGGGGUAGAAUUCCACGUGUAGCAGUGAAAUGCGUAGAGAUGUGGAGGAACACCGAUGGCGAAGGCAGCCCCCUGGGUCAAGAUUG
rnacentral:rRNA from 1 species